rnacentral:sRNA from 1 species
AUUCUGCCCAUGCGGGGAAGGAUGAGAAGCUUCGACUAAGGUUCGACUUGAGCGCCAGCGAGAGAGCGUUGCCGCAGGCAACGACCCGAAGGGCGAAGCGCGCAGCGCUGAGUAAUCCUUCCCUCACCACCA